CCAGCGGCUGACCACAAACAUCCAAAUGCGUUCGCCUCCUUUGCCCAAAACAUUCGCUGCCAUGGCCUAGGCACCGCCGCCGCCGCCGCCGCCGCCGUCUCCACCCGCACCCUCCCCCUUCCAAUCCUCUCCGUGGUCCAUGGCGCCGCCGUCGCCGCCGUGUGUCUCAGAGAGGCUGCCGUCCAAGGGAAACGCCGGGAACCGACCCGAGCAGUGUGGGAGCGCCUCCUCUAUACUCUCCCCAAUCCCGCCGAUGCUCUUUUCAGCCCCUCUGCCGCCGCCGUCCAAGGCAAUCUCUGGAGCGAGUCGAGCCUUGCGGGGAACCGGGGACGCCUCCUCUCCGCCGCUGUCCAAGGGAAUCUCCGGGAGCGAGCCGAGCAACUUGCCGCUGCUUUGUGGAUUUUGUUAUUUCCUGGACUACGAUGAAUGCUACUCUGAAUUUAUGCUGAUGAAUCUGUUUAUUUGCUCCGUACUGAAUGAUCGGAGGGGUAAUAAUUCGGCAUGUACUAAUGGCAUUGCAUAUCAUUUUGCUUUGUAAAUAUCAGUUUGCUUUGUGUAAAUAUGUAGCACUAUGUGAGCAUAAUUGGUUUAGUGCCAAAUUGGCAUGCCAAUGUUUGGCAUUGUGCCAAAUAUUGGCUACUAAUUGGUUGGUUAUGAACUUGUCUUGCCUUCUCACAUAAAGUUGCCAAUAUUGGCAAGUCUUGAUAUUGUCAAUAUUUGGCAAUGCCAACAUUUGGCUAGCCAAAUAUUGGCAACAAACCAAGCAUAAGAAGUGGUGGUCAGAGCACCACGAAGUCCAGCGAGCUGUCCAUUUACAUCCUGAACCAUACUGCAAGGGGUCUGGACCGGGGACAUUUUGGAACGGCAACUUCAUACAGCUCCAUGAAAUUUACAGAAAGAUUUUAUUUUGUGGAAGCUUAGAAACCAGCGAGUUGGGCAUCAGUGCAUAGUAGUCGACUCUCUGUUGUUGGUCGUGUAGAUGCUAGGUGUAGCAGGUUCGGAAGAACUAUGAUCUUCCAUAAUGUGUGCAACGGGGACAGUGUUCAUGUCAUUUCAUAGUUAUGCAUUUUCUGUGAUCCUAAAAUUAGAACUAAUGCUAGCUUCUGCAAAUGGAACAUUCAGAUAUACAAUAGGGAAGAAAAAUUGCGACCCCAUCUUGAUGUUGGUGGAGGUAUAUGUGCUACAAGUCGCUCGACCCCAUGUCGGCACUCGAGGUCUUGGUGUUGGUUGUUUUGGAUUCCGGGGUAGCAAUCCAUCACACUGCUCCUCACCUUUGUACGUGAUGCUCCCUUUUGAAAAUUCUUUCAGAGAAGGAGCAUAUUCCAAUGAAAGGUACAUACGUGCAUCAUCAAUAUUUCCGUUUGAAAGGAUUUCCAAAAUUCAUUCAGGUAGGUCGCCUGUUUUUACUUCAGAAGUUCAGAUUGAUCUAGGUACGCUAUAUAAAAAAUGUAUAACAUACUUAUAAGUUGGUUUAUUCACUUUCCUAGCUACAAUUACUUCUUCAACAUGUAGUCUGCUGCUGCGUUGCCUCACGUGUGCGUGUGCGACUUGCGUGUAUGGUGUGUCUGCUUCAUGUGUGUGUACUAGCUAGCUAGGCGAAGGUCUCAUGCUAUAUGGUUUUAUCCAAUUGAUACAUCUUCAGAAUUCUGCACAGUUAAAAUUUUCUUAUUGUUUUGCAUUGUAACAGAUGUCUGAUUAACAUGCAUGACUGACUCACUCUUCUGUCAGCAUCCACAUCUUCUAUGGACAUCCGGUGGAUGGUGUUUCUAUGAUCAUUUAGAAGAAAACCUAGAGCUUGCACGGGCUCUGCAAAAAAAUCUGAAAGAUGAACAUCCCUUUGUCACAAUGUUCUGGUGGGGGAUGUUCUCAGAUAGUACUCCAUCAGUUCAUUUCAACGACAUUUAGUUGUGGCUAUUUUCUUUUUUUAUCAACAAAUAACUUAAAAGUAAACAAAGAAGUGACUACCUGAAGCUAUACAUAUGGGUGGUGCUUGAAGCCAGAUCGAUCUGGGUGAGGAAGUUGACAAAGAGAUGGUGGACUCCCAGGAAGGUGAUGCUACUGCAGGGUGGUGUGGUGGCCAGCAGCCGAGGGGCAUAUCUCCAGGAGGUGGAUGUGUGGUGUAGCCGCCGCAGCACUGCAACUGUGGUGGCAUAUUCACACAGUCCACCAGCCAGGCGAGCGAUGUGAGCCCACGCAACACCAAGUCCUUUUGGUCAGAGUUGCUAGCGAAGCAAAUGCAAAGAUCGAACGACAUGGCUGGAUACAACCAAGGAUAAAUUACGUCAAGUUGAAUGUUGACGGGGCUUUUGACCCGGACUUACUCCAAGGUUCUUAUGGAGUUGUUAUUAGAGACUCAAGUGGCAAGUUUAUUGCGGCGGGAAACGGGAAAAUUGAAUGGUGUGGUGAUGCUCUUAUGGCUGAGGCAAUGGCUCUGCGGUUUGGUCUCAACCUAGCUACAACUGUCGGAUGCAAUCGCAUAGAAGUGAAUUCUGAUAACGUUGAAGUGAUUGAGGCGAUGAAAAAUGGUGGACAAUCAUUUGGAAUUGCGGCAGCAAUCUUUGAUGAUAGCUAUCAUAUUGCUUGUGAUUUCCCACAUAUUAUUUUGAGCAUAUUCCUAGGGAGUCAAACUGUGUUGCCCAUGAUCUAGCUAGUCUAGCUAGGAGUAAGGUGUGUUCUGGGUGGAUGGAUGUACAACCCAAUGAGAUUACUGCUUCUCUUGUGAAUGAUGCUACUUUGAUCACCUUGCAAUAAAGAAUUUUAGAUGUAAUAAAAAAGUCCUUUCGAUCGGUCAGAUGACUGGGUUGUCGCCGGCCGUAGCCUCUUGUACGAUAUAUCUCUUGCUCUUCCACUGGAGACCAUAAUCAAAGGUAAGCACUAUUCCACUUUUCUAUUUGUGUGUAGUUAUUUCUGCUGACUACCCAAAAAGUAGUAGUAAUAAUCUUUAGAGAAGAGCUUCAUGCACUCUCUGUUCUCCAUUUUUCCCGGUUUCUAUAUAAAGCUGAGAAAAUUAUAUGACCCUAUUGCACAUGUGUCUCUGAAGACAAACGCCUAGAUUACAUCAGCAGUUCAUUCAGAAUUCGUUAUAUCAUACAAUUAUGCGGUCAUACAUUAGUUAUUGAGGUCAUGUUUUGAUGUUACUAUUUUUUUACUACGUGUAUUAUUUUUCUCAGUCAUUACUACCUUUUGCAUUUCGAAGGAUAGGUACAAAGGCAUACGAAAGCUGAACUGGUUAUACUGUAGGUAUUGAUGCUUCCAUGUUAAAGCAAUUUGCACUGCGUGUAGUGCUUUUAUCCAGUCAUUGUUGCCUUCUGGUAUAGCAGAUUAAUUUUGCAGAACACCCAAAAAUAUACACUGGUCCCAAAAGUUAGUACAGACGUAUGAAAACCUUUUAGUUACUUGGAUAUAGUUUCACAAUAUAUUUGUUUUACUUUGUGGGAGCAAAAUCGUUAGAUAACAGAUAUAAGGAUUGAUCUUGAAAAAAACAAACUAUAUCCAACUCUCUGAUCCUUCCAGAAUAAUUUUGAAGUAUGGAAGGACCAUUUCUAAAGGACCUUUAAGUGGGCAAUCAUACAGAUGGAAGCUCAUAGUUCCAUUUGCUAGGAUAUGGGAGGUGAAGAACUCCGGCACAGGAGCUGUCUAUGAGAUCAACUUUGUCAUGUUGGAUAGUUAAGUUAUUACUCUAUACCAUGUUUCACCAAAAAGAAAAAGGGGAUAUGAUCUCCAAUUGUUUGCAUAUUCGUGCAUUACCCACAUUGCAUUCGUCCAUCCGGGAGGCGCAAUGGAAUUGUUGGUGCCAGAAGAAAGGGUGUGGCAAUUCAGAGAUCGGCUUACAGAAGGAUGCAUGUAUACAAUAUUAAUUGCCAGUAUAUGAUUUAUUGACACGCCUUGCACCACAGGCAUGUUUUUUUUUCCAACCCAUCAUCAUCCAGAGAUUGACAAAGUGCGUGAAAGUAAGGAACUGAUUUCUACUUUUCCUUCUACGACUUAUAAAUAUAAUCGCCUAUUCUUCAGAGCUUUUGCUCUGUUUGUUUCCACCAAUUCUACUGUUCUAACAUUUCUAGCACUUAGUUUAAUACUCUCUCUCUCUCCCCCUCUCUCUCUUAACUUCUUUUCCAAAAGAAAGGCAGGACGCUUGCAAUAUUGACAUUUUCCAUAGCUAUAAGCAUUUGAAUUUCAGCUCUACUUUGCUCUUCUAUUCGCAGGUUGAAGCUAUAAGGCAGUCAACCAAGUUGUUGAAGCGGGAGUACUCUGUCGUGUCCACCAGUCCACAUGGAGCUGCUGCUACUACUGCCGCUGCUGAAAAUGGCGGUGCUACCAUCAGGAGGCUGAGGCAUUCUUCAGUGGGUCAGGGUGCAUUGGUUGUUCAGCAAAUGUGCAUCUUUGUAGUCUGAGAUUGUUGUUAUACAGAUGUAAGUUCCAAUAGCCUCUGAUAUUUGAUUCAAUUUUUAGGCUAAAACUAGCAGUCUUUGUUCAGUUUUGUAUCUCACUCUAUAAGAUUAGACUGAAAUAGUUGCUUGGAAUAACCUGAUGUGCUAGGAAACAAGGAAAUAUAUUUCUUAAUGGGAAAUAGAGGCAACAUUUUUCUCCAUUA